UACGUAGGGUCCGAGCGUUAAUCGGAAUCACUGGGCGUAAAGCGCACGUAGGCGGCUUUCUAAGUCAGGGGUGAAAUCCUGGAGCUCAACUCCAGAACUGCCUUUGAUACUGAGAAGCUUGAGUCCGGGAGAGGUGAGUGGAACUGCGAGUGUAGAGGUGAAAUUCGUAGAUAUUCGCAAGAACACCAGUGGCGAAGGCGGCUCACUGGCCCGGUACUGACGCUGAGGUGCGAAAGCGUGGGGAGCAAACAGGAUAGAAACCUGGUAGU
rnacentral:rRNA from 1 species